AGAGUUUGAUCCUGGCUCAGAACGAACGCUGGCGGCAGGCUUAACACAUGCAAGUCGAACGGACGACUGCAAUAACUUAGUGGCAUACGGGUGAGGAACACGUGGGAACAUUCCUUUCUAUUCGGAAUAACUCAGGGAAACUUGAGCUAAUACCGGAUACGUCCAUCGGGAGAAAGAUUUAUCGCUGAAAGAUUGGCCCGCGACUGAUUAGCUAGUUGGUGAGGUAAUGGCUCACCAAGGCUACGAUCAGUAGCUGAUCUGAGAGGAUGAUCAAUCACAUUGGGACUGAGACACGGCCCAAACUCCUACGGGAGGCAGCAGUGGGGAAUAUUGGACAAUGGGCGCAAGCCUGAUCCAGCCAUGCCGCGUGAGUGAUGAAGGCCUUCGGGUUGUAAAGCUAUUUUGUCCGGAUAAGAUAAUGACUGUACCGGAAGAUUAAGCCCCGGCAAACUUCGUGCCAGCAGCCGCGGAAAUACGAAGGGGGCUAGCGUUGUUCGGAUUUACUGGGCGUAAAGCGCACGUAGGCGGCCUGUUAAGUCAGAGGUGAAAGCCUGGAG
rnacentral:rRNA from 1 species